GCCUGGAUGGCUCAGUCAGUUAAGCAUCUGACUUUGGCUCAGGUCAUGAUCUCACAGUUCAUGGGUUUAAGCCCCAUGUCAGGCU
rfam:Felis catus isolate Cinnamon breed Abyssinian chromosome D4, whole genome shotgun sequence.